ACUCCUACGGGAGGCAGCAGUGGGGAAUAUUGGACAAUGGGCGAAAGCCUGAUCCAGCCAUGCCGCGUGUGUGAAGAAGGUCUUCGGAUUGUAAAGCACUUUAAGUUGGAGGAAGGGUUGUAGAUUAAUACUCUGCAAUUUGACG
rnacentral:rRNA from 1 species